AUACGUAGGGUGCGAGCGUUGUCCGGAAUUACUGGGCGUAAAGAGCUCGUAGGUGGUUUGUCGCGUCGUCUGUGAAAUUCCGGGGCUUAACUCCGGGCGUGCAGGCGAUACGGGCAUAACUUGAGUACUGUAGGGGAGACUGGAAUUCCUGGUGUAGCGGUGAAAUGCGCAGAUAUCAGGAGGAACACCGGUGGCGAAGGCGGGGCUUUGGGGCAUAAACGGACGUGGAGAGGCAAAAGAUGGGGAAGCGAACGGGUUAGGUUCCCUGGGAAGCCAUGGCGGAAAAGGGUGGCGGUAGGUGGAGGGGGUUUCCACGGCUUCUGGGCCCUAGCUAACGGAUUAAAGCGCCCGCCUGGGGAGUACGGCCGCAAGGCUAAAACUCAAAGGAAUUGACGGGG
rnacentral:rRNA from 1 species